GUGCCAAAUGCCGACCUCUGCUCUGGAGGGUGUGCAAAGUUGCAGCAGGAAGCAUGCGAUGCUGUGGCAAAGAAGGAAGUCCCCCAGGACAGGGAAAAUGCAUCAUAUGCAACGUCGCUUGCAGGCUCUGAUGUAAUGCUCAUAUCUACGUGUGUUAGCUCUGGCUCCUGCUAGUCCACUCAGUUCUUCACUUCCAACCUGAAUCACCUGAAUGCUGAAAAUAGGAUGCACUAGAGCCCUAUGUCAACUUCAAUGAGCACCUGGGCUCUCCGGGCACUACAGGAGGAGGUGAGGGACAUGCCUUGUGUCCCAGGUUUCAGGGAGAGCUACCAGUCAUGGUAGUGAUGAGGUGCA